GUUCUGGACUUGAACAAAAUUUCUGAAAUUUCAUUCCUUUCACAGAUUUUUACCUCUUAAUCAGGAGCAUCACACUUGACUGUGUGGCCUGAACAAGUAGCUGAGUAGACCGAGUCCGUCAGAACUCGUUUCACCGUCUCUGGUCACUUUGUACCUGCGGUCCGGCUCCUUUUCUGCUGUACACGCUCCGCGGUUUCCAGCACUCACUUUUCUGCAGGGUACCAAUAAACAGGAUUUAUACCAGAGAAAAAUAUAAAGCUUC
rnacentral:lncRNA from 1 species